GUUAAAUUAAUACACUUCCCCCAAAGAACAUUUCGGAUUUUCCUACUACAUAUUGCAAUGUUCCGGUAACAAGAGGAAUUUCUUGUUUUCUCGAGAGUCCCAUACAAAACUGGCAGACACCGAGAAAUAGUUGACAAGUUUUACCCUUAAAACGCCACAAGCUUACAAGAUGGAUUGGCGAGAAGCUUGACUGGACUGCACGAAUCGCCAAUCACAGCAGAUAAAGGCUAAACUGGCGCCUGCAUAUUUAAUCAUGCUGCAAGAAAAGGAAGGAGUAAUGCUACAGUCUACCGGAGAGUUUAUCUUUCCCAGAUGGGCAAGUAAACUGAUGGCUCAGGGGCUUCUUCCAAAACAGGCCGGCUUCUCAGUUUCGAACAAUUUUAAACUCAAACGGGCAUCACUAGUGUGACCGACCCAUUUGAGAACAGCGGUUCAGAGUGGGACUUUGCAAAGUGUAGCAGAAAAUGUGUAGGAGGAGAUGGCGCAGCUGUCACAGACGAACCUCAAACAGCGCUGUGACUAGCCUUUUAAUCGGACUGGCUAACAAAUUAGUCUGCAGGAAGGACACAACGCUGUACUUUUAAAGUGAACUGGCCGCUUCCUUGGUUGACGAGAUCAAACUAUUUAAGCAGACUAGUUUUUUUAAAGAAAGUAAAAAUGAUGCAUUCGACAUAUAAACCUCAAAGCAAUAUUAAACUGGGCACAUGGUCCCGCAUAGCAACUGUUUGCUAUUUUGGACUUUGCAGUCUAAGUUAAAGCCCUCCGAAGCACAUUACCUUCUCUGCAUAACUUUAAAGCACAUUACCUGGUAACCAAGCAGUCUUCCUCAUUUUCAUUUGAAUAAUCUAAAAUUUCACACGUGCAUACAAAUACAUGAGAAAGCAAUCAUUCGUAAGUGUCCGCCGACACCCUGUUUUAUUCAGUAAAAGCUGUUUGCCUGUUUGGGGUGAGAAUUCCGCCUUACCCACCACGCCUGAGCCCAAGUUCUCUCAUUCCGAACACAUACCAGUCCUGAUCGCGGCUGCUGUUACAACAUGCAAGGUGUUGAAAACCUGCUAGACCAAAGGAACCUUUCUACCUCGCUCCUUUGGUUCAAGAAUGCCCGAGUGUGCAAGGCUCAUAAUGAUUAAAACUCUGCAUGUCUGCUGAAACCCAUCAUCGUUUCUGGCGAAAUAAAAGCUCAGAACUCGA